CCAGUGCAUUCACCACCCAAGUUAUGCAAUACAGAGAGGCCUAUGAUAUAUGAUUGUAAAAGGGUUCCGACAGGAGCGGCCUGGGGUCACAUGUGGCGGCAUCCAAUGCACUUCAUGUGUUCUCAGGUCGCCCCUGCCGGGCUUCCUCUACAUGAUAGUUGCUCCGUAGCAGUGGUGGGCCCAAAUCUGAACUGAAUAGCCACCUGGUUUUCAACUUCAUGGUAACAUUUUCCCUUUUACAGCAGGUAAGGGUUGCUCUCGUGUUAAAAAUUGGAAAGCGUCAAAACAGCACAAUAAAUAAUUAAAUCCAAUGUCCACAAGAUGGAAUGCUAAAAGAGUCAGAAAGAGAGACCCACGAAAGCAAAGACUCAAUCAAGUGCAGCAUCUUGAACAGGUUUAGAGCAAGUACAUUGCUAACAGAGUCAGACCUACCUGCGGUCUCCAAGAAUGAUGGGAACAAACCUGAACAGUGCAUCAUGAAAAGAUCCGGGUGGUGCUAGAUCAUGUUUCCUCGUAGCAUACUCCACUCCCAUUGAAAAUCUACCACUUCAUCAAGGAGUGCCAAAAACACCAUUUGUUCACCAGGAAACCAGUUUUACCCAUGGCCGUUUCUUCGCAAAAAUUCCUGUAAUUUCAUUGCCCAGACAAAUGAGGUUGUUAUGGGAUGGCAAAUGAAUAUCGACAAUAAUGAAUUGAGUAAAUACGGAACCAGAAAUGUUAUCAUGGACACUUCUACACCAAAAUCCUCACAUCAGACAUAAUAGUAAGCAGCUCUUCUUCCCCUAUUUUCUUCCAAACUCCAUUUAUCAUCAGACAACCUUUGUCAUCUCCUGACAACAAAACAUUCUCGCAAUCUGAUUCAAAACUGUCAGCUGUCUCUCUCAUCUUCUUCGCGCUUGAUUUAUCUAAUAAAUAAAUAUCACAGCCAGCUUCUCUCUUACUACUAGUCCUCUCGAUGCUAGGGUAAUAUGAAAUACAAAUGUCACCACUGCUGCCUUGUUUCAGUUCCCAGGACUGCUUCCAUUCUGAUGAAUGAACAGGCUUUUUACCGUCAUCGGCACAGUCAAGAACAGGAAGAUGGCUGGAAGAUCUAAGGUCACGGGGCAACAUGCCAAUUGGACAUGGAUUCCAUGAUUUUGCCACAGCCCAUCCGCCUGAACUACCUACUUCACCAUCUGUUCUCUUAACAGCUUUACUCUUUGUUCGGCAAAAUUUAACAAACUCUAGCUUCUUGGUGGCCUGAUGGAUAGAUUCAUCUUGCUGGAUAAGACGGUUAUUCAAACUUGGGAGAGAAGACUUCUCUUGGGUAACAUCUGGGUCUGACAAAACUAGUGGACUUAGUUUUUUGAGUAUCCCCAUCACAGAGGUAUCACCCAUCAACUGUGCAAGAUGAAGCGCUGAAUCCAUAAGCUACUUAUUGCCAUUUGAGGACACCAAAAGACAUUUGCGGAGGACCUCCAUCAGGAUUUUGUUUGAUAAAUUCAUUCCUAUUGAAGAGGCUUUUCUUUCAGCUGCAGUUUCUUUGCAGCGGAGAGGCUUUAGUCCCUUGAGUUGUCCAACAAGCCAUGCAAACAAAGAAGAAAGUCUUUCAAUUUGGCCAGUCUCUGUUCUGUAUGCCCGUGAUGUGAGGUGUGUUCCUGGACAAGUUUUCAGAAAGGUCAACAAAGAUAACAUGGAAUCAAAACUAUAGUUACUGGCAGCUAUAUGCCAUGCCACAUCAAGUUGACUUUCAUGGUAAACCGGGUACUUAGAAGGAUAAACAGAAAUAGCUUAGAAACAAGGUUUAAAAGAGUUCAACAAUUAUAAAGUUGGGCAUGCCUAACUCACUAGCUCAAAUGAAGAAUGAUGAUCACAAAUGUCUGUUCAACAAUGAAAAGUUCACUAGUGGGUUUGAAAUGCAUAAACAAAAUGUAAUGAACUUGGUAAGUAAGGGGGAAUGUAUGGAAUUUUUCUUUUACUCUUA